rnacentral:pre_miRNA from 1 species
ACCUAUCGAGUAUGCUAGCCGCCUACUCACCGCAGCGGAGCGCAACUACUCUACUACAGAACGGGAAGCGCUUGCUGUAGUCUGGGCCGUGGAGCGUUUCAGGC